rnacentral:rRNA from 1 species
GAGUUUGAUCAUGGCUCAGAACGUACGCUGCCGGCACGCCUUAUACAUGCAAGUCGAACGAAGUAGCAAUACUUAGUGGCAGACGGGUGAGUAACAUGUGGGUAUCUUCCCUUUGGUGAGGAAUAACACGAGGAAACUUGUGCUAAUACCUCAUAAGUCUUUACGGAGAAAGCUUUAUGCGCCAAUGGAUGAGCCCGCACUUGAUUAGUUUGUUGGUGGGGUAAUGGCCUACCAAGACUGUGAUCAAUAGCUGAUUUGAGAGGAUGAUCAGCCACAUUGGGACUGAGACACGGCCCAAACUCCUACGGGAGGCAGCAGUAGGGAAUCUUGCACAAUGGAGGAAACUCUGAUGCAGCGAUGCCGCGUGAGUGAAGAAGGCCUUUGGGUUGUAAAGCUCUUUCGUCGGGGAAGAAAAUGACUGUACCCGAAUAAGAAGGUCCGGCUAACUUCGUGCCAGCAGCCGCGGUAAUACGAAGGGACCUAGCGUAGUUCGGAAUUACUGGGCUUAAAGAGUUCGUAGGUGGUUAAAAAAGUUGGUGGUGAAAUCCCAGAGCUUAACUCUGGAACUGCCAUCAAAACUUUUUAGCUAGAGUAUGAUAGAGGAAAGCAGAAUUUCUAGUGUAGAGGUGAAAUUCGUAGAUAUUAGAAAGAAUACCAAUUGCGAAGGCAGCUUUCUGGAUCAUUACUGACACUGAGGAACGAAAGCAUGGGUAGCGAAGAGGAUUAGAUACCCUCGUAGUCCAUGCCGUAAACGAUGUGUGUUAGAUGUUGGAAAUUUAUUUUCAGUAUCGCAGCGAAAGCAAUAAACACACCGCCUGGGGAGUACGACCGCAAGGUUAAAACUCAAAUGAAUUGACGGGGACCCGCACAAGUAGUGGAGCAUGUGGUUUAAUUCGAAGAUACGCGCAGAACCUUACCAACACUUGACAUGUUCGUUUCGACUCUAAGAGAUUAGAGUUUUCGGUUCGGCCGGACGAAACACAGGUGCUGCAUGGCUGUCGUCAGCUCGUGUCGUGAGAUGUUGGGUUAAGUCCCGCAACGAGCGCAACCCCCACUUUUAGUUGCUACCAUUUAGUUGGGCACUCUAAAAGAACUGCCAGUGAUAAGCUGGAGGAAGGCGGGGAUGGCGUCAAGUCCUCAUGGCCCUUACGUGUUGGGCUACACACGUGCUACAAUGGUACUUACAGUGAGAAGCAAAGAGGCGACUCUAAGCCAAUCCCUAAAAGGUACCUCAGUUCGGAUUGUACUCUGCAACUCGAGUACAUGAAGCUGGAAUUACUAGUAAUCGCGGAUCAGCGCGCCGCGGUGAAUACGUUCCCGGGUCUUGUACACACCGCCCGUCACACCAUGGAAGUUGGUUACACCUUAAGGCAAAGCAUAAAACCUUUGACUACGGUACGAUCAGCGACUGGGGUGAAGUCGUAACAAGGUAACC